UGGGGAAUAUUGGACAAUGGGGGAAACCCUGAUCCAGCAAUGCCGCGUGAGUGAAGAAGGCCUUAGGGUUGUAAAGCUCUUUCGCCCGCGAAGAUAAUGACGGUAGCGGGAGAAGAAGCCCCGGCUAACUCCGUGCCAGCAGCCGCGGUAAUACGGAGGGGGCUAGCGUUGUUCGGAAUUACUGGGCGUAAAGCGUACGUAGGCGGAUGCGCAAGUUGGGGGUGAAAUCCCGGGGCUUAACCUCGGAAUUGCCCUCAACACUGCACGUCUUGAGACCGAGAGAGGUAAGGGGAAUUCCUAGUGUCGAGGUGAAAUUCGUAGAUAUUAGGAAGAACACCAGUGGCGAAGGCGCCUUACUGGCUCGGUACUGACGCUGAGGUACGAAAGCGUGGGGAGCAAACA
rnacentral:rRNA from 1 species